rnacentral:miRNA from 12 species
CAGGGCACAUACAUGAGAGGAC